GCUUACGGCCACACCGGCCUGAGUACGCCUGAUCUCGUCCGUCCGAUCUCGGAAGCUAAGCAGGGUCGGGCCUGGUUAGUACUUGGAUGGGAGACCGCCUGGGAAUACCAGGUGCUGUAAGCU
ensembl:rRNA 5S_rRNA 5S ribosomal RNA